GCAUCGGUGUUUCAGUGGUAGAAUUGUCGCCUGACACGCGAUAGACCUGGGUUCAAUUCCCGGCCGAUGCG